rnacentral:rRNA from 1 species
AUUGAACGCUGGCGGCAGGCCUAACACAUGCAAGUCGAGCGGAUGAAGGGAGCUUGCUCCUGGAUUCAGCGGCGGACGGGUGAGUAAUGCCUAGGAAUCUGCCUGGUAGUGGGGGAUAACGUCCGGAAACGGGCGCUAAUACCGCAUACGUCCUGAGGGAGAAAGUGGGGGAUCUUCGGACCUCACGCUAUCAGAUGAGCCUAGGUCGGAUUAGCUAGUUGGUGGGGUAAAGGCCUACCAAGGCGACGAUCCGUAACUGGUCUGAGAGGAUGAUCAGUCACACUGGAACUGAGACACGGUCCAGACUCCUACGGAAGGCAGCAGUGGGGAAUAUUGGACAAUGGGCGAAAGCCUGACCCAGCCAUGCCGCGUGUGUGAAGAAGGUCUUCGGAUUGUAAAGCACUUUAAGUUGGGAGGAAGGGCAGUAAGUUAAUACCUUGCUGUUUUGACGUUACCAACAGAAUAAGCACCGGCUAACUUCGUG